ensembl:lncRNA LINC03021 long intergenic non-protein coding RNA 3021
AGUUCUUAACGGCCGCGCGUCCAGAGUCUGUUCCUUCUGAUGUUCGGAUGUGUUCGGAGUUUCUUCCUUCUGGUGGGUUCGUGGUCUCGCUGGCUCGGGAGUGAAGCUGCAGACGUUUGCGAGAAAUCUAAAUACAUGACCACAGUUUGAGCUCCUGUCUGAAGAGAUUUUUUAAAGGCUGUUUUCUCAUUAAAGCUGGGAUUUUCAUCAUGCUGAGUUCAGAGGAAAUGAGUAGAGAUGGAAGAGCUCUGAGGAAUGCUCUCUGGGACACGUCACCAUCUAGAAAUUGGAAAAAGGUGUCAAAGCCAUGAAAAUGCACAAGAAGAAAUAGCCGGUGAGAGAAGAAAACCAGGUGUGUGCGUGCUCCUAAGAGCCAAGGCGGGAGGGAGUUUUAGGAAGGGGGAAGCCUCAGAAGUGGUCAAUGCUGUUAUAAUGUUGACGCAAGUUUUGGUGGGAGAAAGACCAACUGACUGUUUGCAAUUGGAUGGCAUGAACCAUGGAGAUUAUUCACGCUCACCACUGGCUAAAAUGUGUGAUUGCUGUGAUGGGGAUGAAAGUGUGAUUGGAAAAGUUUUGAAGAAAGUGAAAAGUGAGGAUGUGGAGACAGAGAUAGAUAACUCCCGAGGAUUUUUGCAGAACGGAGAUUUCUGGAGACGGAUGAAUCCAUUGGUGCACAUUCCCUCUUGUGUAAGGAAAGGGUUCCCACAGAGAGGAAAACUAAACAUACCAUAAAAAUGAAAGACUUCUAGAACAAUCUGAAGCAGGUGACAGAGAGAGCAUGAGAUCUUGUGGAAAAAAAAUUCCCAAAGAGGGAUUACUAACAGUUUAUUGUGAGAAGAGAGAAGACAAUGUGGGUGGAUUGUAAGUGUGAUGAUGAGAACUUAAGAGCGUUCUCUUGUCUGAGUCAACUCAGAAGCAAAUUCAACUUCUGAGAGUAAAAAGGAGGAGUCAAAUAUCCUCAUUUUAAAAAGUGUGAAUUAAUAUGAGGAAUCGAUGAGGCAAAAAUAAUGAGGAUUGCCAGGCAACGCAGGGAGCCAAACACACUCUGUGUUUCCCAUGUUUACUCAGCACUUCUCAGUGUGUAUGCCCAGAAAACCAAGUGUGGCUUCUGCUCAGAUCUAGCCGCAGAAUACAGAACUGGAAUAAGCUGGAUGUCUUUGCAUAGAUAAAUGCAAAAAUAUUUGCAUAUUUGCUCACAUACAUAUUAUUUUCUAUUGGUGAGCUUAUUCUAUGCAUCCUAUUUGCAAUCUGCUUUGUAGUCACUCAAAAAUAUAUCCUGAACAUAUUUCUACAUAAAGUGAAGAAAUAGAGUACAGCAUUACUUUAAAUGGUUGCAGUGUAUUCCACAAUAUGUCUAUAACUAACCUGUUAUGUUGGGUAGUUAUUUAUAUUUCCCUUUUCCCAUUAUCGAAAUAAACUAUCGGUGAACA